rnacentral:rRNA from 1 species
UGAGGAAUAUUGGACAAUGGGCGCAAGCCUGAUCCAGCCAUGCCGCGUGCAGGAAGAAGCAUCUAUGGUGUGUAAACUGCUUUUGUACGGGAAGAAACACUCCUUCGUGAAGGAGCUUGACGGUACCGUAAGAAUAAGGAUCGGCUACUCCGUGCCAGCAGCCACGGUAAUACGGAGGAUCCAAGCGUUAUCCGGAAUCAUUGGGUUUAAAGGGUCCGUAGGCGGUUUAGUAAGUCAGUGGUGAAAGCCCAUCGCUCAACGAUGGAACGGCCAUUGAUACCGCUAGACUUGAAUUAUUAGGAAGUAAAUAGAAGAUGUAGUGUAGCGGUGAAAUGCUUAGAUAUGACAUGGAAUACCAAUAGCGAAGGCAGGUUACUACUAAUGGAUUGACGCUGAUGGACGAAAGCGUGGGGAGCGAACA